UAGUGACCCAGGGUGAAGAAUAUAGUAAUUCUUCACCCUGGUCGAUUGUUCGCGCCACGGUGUGGCUCAACCCAGGAUGAACGAAAGUAAAGUUUUACCCAAAAUUGUAUCCUACCGUCGUAAGAUUACUUUGACGCCGGAAGCGGUUCACUGGCCAUGGUGAUGAGCUAGCCUACUCCCCCGUACAGUUUUCAAUUAGAUGCUUACGGUUUCGACUGUGAACGGCGACUAGCGGGCGGCGAUCGGCGGGUGGGCUCGAUGGUGCGGUGCUCGGCGGAGGAUUCACUCGCUUCCCUGUCCAUCUCCAUCCCGUCCUUUCGUGUGACCUGGAGGCCUACAAUGGCGGCGGGGGCGGAGCGUACUACGAUUUCGACUGCGGCGGCGACCCCUCCCAAAUCCACCCCACUGUUGUGUCAGCGAAGGCUCCUGUGACAACCAAUUUCACCGGAGAAUACGUCUGUGACAGCCCUCCUCUGUAAUGGCGGUACUGCAAAAAGGAGCUUCUGAUGAGGGAGAUCAAGAAGAGGUUGUACCUUGUCCAUGGAAAUGGGAUGGCACCAUGUCAAUGGAGGAAAAGAAUGCCAUGUCAAUGGCAAAGAGGAAGAGGAGCAAAAGGCUCCUGAGGAGGAGGAAGAACACAAGACAAGAUUAUCUUAUUUGAUCCAGCCAAGGGUGAUAGCUCUGUUUCUUCUCUGCUUUUGAUGAACUAUUCCCUCCUUCCUUCGAGCUCCAUUGUUUUGAGCAAAUUGGCUUGGCCCUGCUUAAUCAAUUAAUUUCUCAUGGAAAGAAGAAAAUACUGAAAUUUAAAUUUGUUACCCUUCCUCGAUGGAGGCUGCAUUAUUUUCUUGAGCAGAUAACUCCUAUUCCAUUGUAGGUUCUCUACUUGCUAGAUGCGAGAAAAAAUGGUUGUUCUGAAAAAAGUGUGAUUAAUUAGACAAGAUGACUUGUUUACUUGUAGUUAGUAGCUGCUACUUUGGAUGAAUGAUUUACUCAAAUAGUUAGCUGUUGUAAUUCGCUAGUUUUUCACUAGUCAUUUGAUAACAGAAGAAAGUUAAACUCCAUGUCUCUGUAUCGAAGGAUGCAGGAACAGUAAGGAACCUCAGUUUACAAAGAAAUACGCAUGAUAUCAAUGUGAAUGCUUGAUGCUUCUUUUUUGACACCGGUCAAAGCUAGCUAGCAUAUAUAGUCAUGGUCAUAGCACAUAUUCCAAAGGUAGGCAUGACUCUUAGUUGAUUUCUAUGGGGGGUACUUAUUAAUUCAAACUUUAAGCAUAUACUGUCUUUUCUUCUGAAGCUACAUGAUGCAUCCUUUUUCUCCUCAUUUAAGAUCCAAGCUGCAUAGGUGACUCAUAAUAUAGGGCUGGAUAUUUUCUUGCCACUCACAACAUGUCAACAUACUAAACUCAGUUACGCGGUUUGUAGACAUUCAUUAUAUUAACCGCCAGUUGCCCAACCUGACACUAACAAUUGAUUAUGUCUACUAACUUUGACACCGUAAAGGGAGAUUGCCUAAUUAUGCUGCACUCUGUUUUUUUCUGGAAAGAAUGAAGGAUGGUUUUUUAUUUAUGGAAGUUCAGCUAAUGCCAUUAAAAUUUAGUGAUUAGUAUUUAACUGCCUCUCAGAUCCAGCCAUUACAGUUUUUAUUCAGGCUCCCUUUUCAUCCAGCCAUGAGAACAUGUCGAUGUGCUCUUGUGUCUUGAUGGAAGAACAUGGUAUGAAGCAAUGGUGUCCCCGUGCAUAACAAAUCAAUUGGUUUAAACUACAGAUCUUUCUAUUAGUGCAUAAUGCAGAAACGAUGUACGUAUUGUUUUUCUGUACUUGUAAAAGAACUUGUUAUGUUCCUCUGAUUAUUUCAGGUGUUUGCUUUUACAAGUCAAUCAGUACGUAUGAUUUGAGGGAUUAUAUUAGAUAUAGUGAAUCAGAAAUAUGUUUAAGUUCAAUUUAAUUUUUAGAUCAUAUAACUUGUCUUGUAUUUCUGAAAUGAGCAACCUUAUUCUUCAACUUGCAGAUUUUGUACCGGCUAAAUGUUAUUUUCUUUGGCAAGUUCUUGUACUGUUUCCUGAUUUUCAUGGAGAUGCUGUGGUUUCUUGCUGAUCCAGUUCCAAAAGAAUUUUUUUAGAAAACAGGCACAAUAAGCGCCCGACUUUAAAUUAUUAAAGUAAAGAACGGCCAGAGUACCACAUUGUUGAAGUUGUACAGAACAAAACGGAAAAGCUGGCCAUUGACACACUUGGGAAAGCUUAUCAUUGUUAUAGAUGGUCCUUCCCAGUUCUCUACGCGUGUUGUUAUCUUGUUGGGCAGCAGGGCAGGGAUGAAACAAGACAACAACAUAUUGCUUCAUGUUUGAUUUUAUUCGACUCGCUAUUUGCUUCAUGUCUUAACCUCCUUUGAGCAUCUGUUGGUUCCAUUUUGUGCAGCUGCUGAUGUAAAGGAAUGCAGUGCUAAGCAAAGCGAUAUGAUCAUCAUAUCAAGUGGGCAUCGAUGCCAUUAUGUAGUUUCUCUUGUCAGGGUAUACCACGCGCGGAUUAUAAUUAUCUCUGAUUCGAAUUGUAUGCACACAAAGCUUCACAUGUUAUUACUGGUAUAUACAAAGACUGUACUCUAUGGAGGCCUA